rnacentral:rRNA from 1 species
ACGAACGCUGGCGGCAUGCCUAACACAUGCAAGUCGAACGAGACCUUCGGGUCUAGUGGCGCACGGGUGCGUAACGCGUGGGAACCUGCCUUUAGGUUCGGAAUAACUCUCCGAAAGGGGUGCUAAUACCGAAUAAUGUCUUCGGACCAAAGAUUUAUCGCCUUUAGAUGGGCCCGCGUUGGAUUAGCUAGUUGGUGGGGUAAAGGCCUACCAAGGCGACGAUCCAUAGCUGGUCUUAGAGGAUGANCAGCCACACUGGGACUGAGACACGGCCCAGACUCCUACGGGAGGCAGCAGUGGGGAAUAUUGGACAAUGGGCGAAAGCCUGAUCCAGCAAUGCCGCGUGAGUGAUGAAGGCCUUAGGGUUGUAAAGCUCUUUUACCCGGGAUGAUAAUGACAGUACCGGGAGAAUAAGCUCCGGCUAACUCCGUGCCAGCCG